rnacentral:sRNA from 1 species
GUAUCUCCUAAAGGGGAGUAGCUUUAACAGCAAAGUCGUCAUUACAGAGAUUAUCUCUCGGCUUUGUUGGCGACAUUAUGUUGUUAGCAAGACCUUUACCGCUUAU